AUCGACUUGACCAACAAACCGCCGCAGGGGCAGGGCUACGCCGAUCCCCGGCCCGCCUCGCUUCACUCCGACCACCGCACACGAUGGACCCGAAGCCGGCCGUUGAGGCCGACGCCGACGACGACUACAUGGGGGACCUGUCCCUCUUCCUCCCGCCGAGCCCUUCCAGGAGUCUCGGGGUCCGGAAGCAUCCCCCGGUGCCGGCUGGGCAUGCGCGAGGGCAGGCCAAGCGCGCCAAGGGGCUGCCCUGGAAGGAGCGGCGGCGGCAGGACCGCGAGAGGAGUCAGCGGGAGGAGGAUGCGCGGACCUUGGCCGGGAUGGCGGAGGCCAUCCCCGAGAGCAACGUGGGGUUCAAGCUUUUGAAGCAGAUGGGUUACGACCCGGCCUCGCGUGGCGGCGACGCGGAGCCGGUGGGGAUCGAGAUCCGCCGCUCGCGAGCAGGGCUCGGGGCGGAGCCGCCUGUCUCUGCCGCGCCUCUGCCGCAGCCGUCGGAGCCGAAGACCCGGGAGGAGGUUGAGAAGGAGAGGAAGAGGGAGGAGGAGAUGGUGGAAGAGCUAAGGGCGAGGAAGAGCAUACAAUGGAAAGGGCGGAGGUUGGUGUGGGACUACCGCAAGGCCGACGCAGCGCUCGCGCAGCUGGAGAACCGGGAGGUGGCGCUACCGGCUCCAGAUGGCGAGGAGAAGGGAGAAGAAGAAGAGGAGGAGGUGAUCACCGAAGAGGGUCUGCAAAACAUACUGGAUAAGCUGCGAUAUGAACACCGCUAUUGCCUUUAUUGUGGAUGCAAGUAUGAAUCGGCAGAAGCGCUAGCAGAUGAAUGCCCUGGGCCUAAUGAAGAUGAUCAUUAAUUCACUUUCUCAAAUGUCCGUGGUGACAAAGAAUUGCCCUUCCUUUUACAGUUUAAAGCUUGAGACAUAUCUGAAAGCUUCAGGAAAUUUGCAUAUGGUGUGAAGUAUGAACUUCAUGCAAAAUACUGAAAGGAGCUCAAGAUAUGUCUGAUAUGUCCAGAACUUCAGCGGUGAAGAAAGAUGUGGAUUUCGGCUUUUAGAUCAACAGAUUUGGGUUUGUUCACCAAUCAUCGAUGUAACUGUUGAAGUUGGCAUCAUUUGAAGGCUGCGACUAUUAUCCCUGGUUCUAGCACUUACAUAAUACUACACGCCAAUGCUGGAUCUCUGUACAGUGCUAUGCUAGUCCUACAAGUGCCAAUCUUACAUGUGAACUUACGAUCUACCCAUGAUCAUUGAUUGUUGGUCACAGGCUAGUGACCUAGUGUGGCUACAGGAUUAGUCAGUAUGAGUUCAAAUAUUAUGUCGUGCUCUUACUCUGGCAAUUAUUUGUUCUCCUUU